rnacentral:rRNA from 1 species
UGCCAGCCGCCGCGGUAAUACGGAGGGUGCAAGCGUUAUCCGGAAUCACUGGGUUUAAAGGGUGCGUAGGCGGCGAAAUAAGUCAGAGGUGAAAGCCCGCGGCUCAACUGCGGAACUGCCUUUGAUACUGUUUAGCUUGAAUCAGGCUGAGGUUAGCGGAAUGUGACAUGUAGCGGUGAAACGCAUAGAUAUGUCAUAGAACACCAAUUGCGAAGGCAGCUAACUAGACCUGGAUUGACGCUGAGGCACGAAAGCGUGGGGAGCGAACAGGAUUAGAUA